CACUCAUCGAGACCGGCUGAGGGAAAGGCCCAUAGACGCCGGGGCAACCUGCAGGACUAACCAUCCUGAUAAGGUGCCAACUCCUGCGGAGCGCUCAGCGCUUCCGAGAGAUGAGGG
rnacentral:ncRNA from 1 species